AACGAACGCUGGCGGCAGGCUUAACCCAUGCAAGUCGAACGAGAUCUUCGGAUCUAGUGGCAGACGGGUGAGGAACACGUGGGAACAUCCCUUUCAGUUCGGAAUAACGUUGGGAAACUAACGCUAAUACCGGAUACGUCCUUCGGGAGAAAGAUUUAUCGCUGAAAGAUUGGCCCGCGUCUGAUUAGCUAGUUGGUGAGGUAAUGGCUCACCAAGGCCACGAUCAGUAGCUGAUCUGAGAGGAUGAUCAGCCACAUUGGGACUGAGACACGGCCCAAACGCCUACGGGAGGCAGCAGUGGGGAAUAUUGGAAAAUGGGCGCAGGCCUGAUCCAGCCAUGCCGCGUGAGUGAUGACGGCCUUCGGGUUGUAAAGCUCUUUUGUCCGGGAAGAUAAUGACUGUACCGGAAGAAUAAGCCCCGGCAAACUUCGUGCCAGCCGCCGCGGUAA
rnacentral:rRNA from 1 species